CACAGGAUUAACUUCCGCGUCUCUGUGCGCGCGAGGCUGCCGCUACUUCCGCAUCACGUGAUUAGUCCCCUCUCUGGACUGUGCUUGCCUGAACAAAAUAACCAUGCGAGCUCUUCCCUACGAAUUAACUACACUUCUGUCAGACCUGGAGGCUUUCCUAUGUGAUGGCCUGAAAGGUGAAAUUCUGAGCAAGAAGGCUAAAGAUAAGAGAGAAGCCUUCAUUAAACGGAUUAAAGAGGUUAAAUUGGGAUUCCCACAUGAUUUCAAGGAUAAAAGCGGAGAUGACACAGGCGACGACGAGGACGAGGUGGACAGCAGCAACAACGAUGGAGGCUCCCUGCAGUCUGAGCGCACAGACAGGGAAGAAGAGACGUCUGAGGGAUGUCAUCAGUCUCCACCGGUGGCGGCGCAAGACCUGCAGUCUGUCCUUAUGUCAGGAUACCUUGAGAAACGCAGGAAGGAUCACAGUUUUUUCGGUCAGGAAUGGCAGAAGAGAUGGUGCGCCCUAAGCUAUCGUACCUUCUACUAUUAUGGCCACGAGAAAGACAAGCAGCAGAAAGGCGAGUUCAGCAUCGAUGGCUACAAUGUCAAAAUGAACAACGGCUUGCGCAAAGACUCCAAGAAAGACUUCUGUUUUGAAAUCUCAGCGCCGGACAAGCGAGACUAUCAGUUCUGUGCGUCAUCAGCCAAAGAGGCAAAAGAGUGGGUGAAAUGCAUAGACCUCAUUUUAAAAGACAUGUCUGGUAUCAUCCAAGAAGAGGAGGAGGAAGAAUAUGACGUGGAAAAGGAUGAGGAACAACUCAUGUAUGAUGAUGUUGGACUUGCACCUGAUACAGACAUCUAUGAGGUGCUCCCAGAUGCAAACACAGACUACCAGAACUACUACCAAGGCUUAUGGGACUGUGUAGGCGACCACCCGGAUGAAUUGUCCUUCAAGCGCGGGGACACCAUUUAUAUACUGAGCAAGGCAUACCAGAACUAUGGUUGGUGGGUCGGAGAGACGAAUGGAAAUAUCGGAAUCGUGCCCAAAGACUACCUGCUGGAGCUCUACGCUUUAUAAAUGCAUUCUAUAAUGGUGGCAUGAUGAAUGGGCUCUGGCGAAGACAAGCUGAGCUGGCCACUGGAUCUACUGCAGACCGUGAGCCGCUUUUCUGAUUUACGCACGUUGGCAGCCGAGCGCCGAGGCCUCCAGAGACGGUGCCCUCUCACACCUCCGUUCUGCGCUCGCCUUUCUGCAGCUUCGCCCGUCCUCUCGUUGUCUCAACAUUUACUGAAGUGGGUCCGACCCCAAAGAGCUCCACCUCUAUCCUCGUUCCUCAUCUCUAACAAGACAUUAGCCGAGAGGGGGUGUUAUUCACAGCGAGAGGGGAUGUUCCCCAGUGUCAAGACACAAAUAAGGAUGAAUAGAAGCCGUCACAGACACUGAUGCUAUUUUACAAUGCUCAUGUUUCAUAGCACGGCUUCAAGUGCUGUUUGUACCGUUUUAUUGCACUGCCAACGCUGAGAGAUGAGCAUUCACGCUAAUGCUAUUCUUCUCUUUGUCUAUUCUUAUACCCAAUAAAUGACAGGAAUAGAAAUUAGUUUAGACCUUGAGCAAUGACUUAAGAUGGCUUUUAUUUCAUCCAAAGGAAGCCUAAUAAAAGAAAAAGUGUUUUGCAAUCACUCAGAAUGCAAAUGGUAUGGCCCGUCUCCAUGAACCAGGAAGUAGCUUGUGAACUAACAUGGAUAAAUAUUUUUGUUAUAAAAUUAUGUUAUAUUUUCUUGUUAUUUGAG